CAGUAAUGACCAGACACAUCACACCCGCCUUCUAGAAGCCCUCCCUCACAAACCGGAUCAACUGCUAUGAUAAAGGGUUCUGCAGAGUGGCCGAAGUUCAUCCUCCCUUCUCCAGGCACAAACUAUGAACUAGCCUCUGGGGCCCCUUCCUGUGCUCUCUGAGGGAGCCGUGCCCUCAACUCCACAGUGAAAAGAUUGGAUAAAAUGAACCCUAAACAUCCCUGCAGCUCUUGGAUUCAAUGUUUUCCCAGGGAGAUGGACUAAUUACAAGAGAAGUGUUGAAAAGUUGAUAUUCCUGCAGAUGGAGAAGGAAGGAGGAUUGGGAACCUCCAAGGACCUCUUUGUUCUACCACAUGCAGCAAACAGCACAGAACUCAGGGCUUCUGUGAAGAGCAACAGUUCCCAGACACUCUGCUGGCUGAGGCUGAUCUGGUUCCCAGGACACUUCUGGG
ensembl:lncRNA novel transcript, antisense to GALNT12